AUUGAACGUUGGCGGCACGCCUAAUACAUGCAAGUCGAACGAGAAAGCGCCUUCGGGUGUGAGUAAAGUGGCGGACGGGUGAGUAACGCGUAGGAAUCUGCCUAGCAGUGGGGGACAACUCGGGGAAACUCGAGCUAAUACCGCAUAACAUCUACGGAUCAAAGUGGGGGAUCUUCGGACCUCACGCUGUUAGAGGAGCCUGCGUUGGAUUAGCUUGUUGGUGGGGUAAAGGCCUACCAAGGCGACGAUCCAUAGCUGGUCUGAGAGGACGAUCAGCCACACUGGAACUGAGACACGGUCCAGACUCCUACGGGAGGCAGCAGUAGGGAAUCUUGGGCAAUGGGCGAAAGCCUGACCCAGCGAUGCCGCGUGUGUGAAGAAGGCCUUCGGGUUGUAAAGCACUUUCAGCAGCGAAGAAAGGUCGGGGGCUAAUAUCCCCCAGGCUUUGACGUUAACUGCAGAAGAAGUACCGGCUAACUCCGUG
rnacentral:rRNA from 1 species